UACGUAGGGGGCAAGCGUUGUCCGGAUUUAUUGGGCGUAAAGAGCGUGUAGGCGGCCAGGUAGGUCAGCUGUGAAAACUCGAGGCUCAACCUCGAGACGUCGGUUGAAACCACCUGGCUAGAGUCCGGAAGAGGAGAGUGGAAUUCCUGGUGUAGCGGUGAAAUGCGCAGAUAUCAGGAAGAACACCCGUGGCGAAGGCGGCUCUCUGGGACGGUACUGACGCUGAGACGGCGAAAGCGUGGGGGAGCGAACAGG
rnacentral:rRNA from 1 species